rnacentral:lncRNA from 1 species
UGUAUCCACAAAGUUAAGUAAACAAUUGUAAUGGGGUACAUUGUUAUAAGUUUGCCCUCACGUCAUACUUUCUCUUUCUAUCUCAAAAUUGGAGACAUCGAGAGUGGAUAGUUGAAAUUCAAUCUUCGUAACCUUUCAAUAUUAAAGGAAAUAACUUUACAAAAUGAAGAAUAUAUUAUUGGAGUACAUAGGAAGAGAGGGAUAUCGACUCAAUUGAUCAUAAUUGAUCGAAUAAGUUUCCACGUAGGAUUAUAUAAUCAUUGGAGUUUGUUCGCUAUAUUUCUAUUAAUGUAUGUUUAUAAUAAUUUUCUUUUUCAGGAGUUAAUGGUUUUGAUGACAUCCUCUCCAUGAUACCCAUUCCCUUCAUCCUUUAAUUAUUAUACUGUAAUGGUUUAUGGUAGAUACAAGAAAGAGUUGUACUGGUUUACUUAAAGACAUUUAAUCUCCUUCAGGCUAAAAACUCAGUCCACGGAUCGACUCCGAGGCCUCGUCCCUAUGUAUACUUCAUAAGAGAAGAACUUACAAUCUCUUUCAGAUAAUGAGAUCUUUCAUUUACUUACGUGAUCCUUCAAAGUGCUGAUUUCCGAAUAUCUCGAAAAAGUCUAAUAAUAUAUUUUUCGCUUUGAAAAGUUUUUUUUUUAAAUGAAAAGGAUAUGAUAAUUGAAUUUCAAGUAUCUGCUGUUGUUGUCUCCAAUUUUGAGAUAGAAAGAGACGUACGGACAAACUUAUAUAAUUUACCCAGGAAUAUUAUUUCGACUCUGAAUAUACCUUUGCACUCACUCCGUACAACCCUCCUGUCGAAUAUAGUAGUCGAUCCUGGCGGCGAGCUUGAAUAUCUAAUUACACACUAUAUUAAAAGGUAUCCAUACCUAACACCCUGACAUACGAACUACUUCCACGCCUUAAUGUUAAUAACCUACGGGAGGAAUGCUCCAGAAUGGAACUAGCCGAGCCUAUGGAAGAACUCUUCUCAAGUCUCAAAUGCAAAUUUUGUGCCACAAUGUACCCAAUUCCUAGUUCUCAUUGUCCUGCCAUUGGUAAAAUCUGCUUCAAAUGGAAUGUUGCCGAUCAUUUUGCAUUGUGUAUCGCACACCAGCGAAAUCCGUAUCCUUCUCUCCUGCCUGUCCUUGGGAACGUGUUCACGUGGACUUCUUACAAUUCAGAGGGAAGGAUUUCCUAAUUCUAGACGACACUGGGUCCAAAUGGAUCGAGACUGCAGCUAUGUCGAACAACUCUACGUCUCACACACUCCUAAAACUAUUAUAAUGGUUCUCUAGAUUUGGUUUUCCUAAAUUGUAGCACUCGAAGUGGGGGUGAAAGCUUCUCUUUCUCUACCAUGUCAUCCGGAAUCUAAUGGACAAGCCAAAAGGGCUGUUUGGAUUUUGAAAGACAUGAUGAAGAUUAAUUCUGGAAUCUCUGUGGAUGAAUUACUUUUUACUUAUCGUUCUACUCCUUUGUCAUGUGAAAAGUUCCCAGCUGACUCCUUUUUGGAUUUUUGGUAAUAAUAUAUGUAUUCGUCUUGAUGGUUUACUUCCUAACAAAAGCACCACAAUGAAAGAGCCAAUCUGAGAAAUCCCCAAUAUUUGAUGUAAAAAUUGUCACUCUUGCAACUUGCUAUAUAUGUGUCAGCCUACGAACAUUUUACGUUUCGUGAUGUACAACUUUUUAUAAUCUACUGUUUUGAUAAAAUUAUGGUUUAUCCUGAUUCGUAGUAUUUAAAAAAAAAAUAGAUGAGUGAUAUAGAUCCAGACUAUGUGGAUUCAAAAUUUAAAAGAAAAAAAAUUAUUUGAACUCAUAUUUCAAAUGCAUAAUGUUAUGU